UGAACAAAAAGAAAGAAAGAAAAGGUUUCCUUCUGAGAGUACUUUUCUGUCAUUUAAUCCGUUUACAUGUUUCUUUACUCUUACCUUUCUUGCUUGCUUUCUGACCACCAGGGAUACAAUGUUAGCACAGGGUCACUGGGGCUCUGUCCAGCUCUAGACAGAUGUUGCUAUAGUCAGAGUUUUAUGAUGACAGAAUGAGAUUUCCAGAAUGCACUGGUGAGUUCCAUGGCAAUUGUUAAGCUUGUCAUUUAGAGGAAAUGAAAGGAAGUCAUUGAUUACUUUCAACACUCACUAUCUUUGCUUUGAGUGUGUAAAAUGCUUUUGUAUUUCCCAUCCAAAACUAACAGACAGUAGCCCCCCAAAAUAGGCCACAUUAUUCAUAGUCCAAGAUUCUCAGGCAUCAUAAUUUACGCUGAGCUGAAAGAAAUUAUGACUUUUAAAAGGAGUUCAGUCUUGCUAGACAAUAUAUUCCUCUGACCGUUCUCCAGGAACAUUGCUUAAAAUAACAGCUGUGAAUUAUAGGUCUCCAAUGUGAAAUUAGUGGGACAAUUGAAAUGGGAGGAACAAGAUUCUCAUUCUUCAGUAUAACAAGUAUUUUUAGGGAUCAGGAUGAACACACAGAUCUCCAGCAAGAAAUGGAAACUGAAAUUUUGAGACUUCAGAUCAAAACUUUGAAAAUGGUAUCAGUUAUGGAGAGAAUACUGCAUUCUAUGUCCUCUUUUGCUAGAUCAUAUUUCAAAAGCCACAACAUUUCCAUGAAUCUGUCUCAUUAACUGGAUUUUAGGGAAUCACCCCGGCAAGAAUGUUCUUUCUUAGUUCUUCCACAAUAAACACCAAUUACUUAGGUAUUUCCUAAAUUUU
rnacentral:lncRNA from 1 species